rfam:Gossypium raimondii Chr11_contig_8, whole genome shotgun sequence.
UGUUAAAAUUUCAUCCAUUUUUAUUGUUAAAAAUUAAUGUUCCUGACAGAAUAACCAGACAGUUAUAUGUAAUGUGUAAUGUGUACUUCAUGUUGAUGUACAUGGCCAAUUUUUUAAAAGUAAAAAUAGAUAAAUUUUUUAAUA